UAAAAACCGGGCGACUCAAAACAAGAUUUAGGGUUUUGGGCUUUUUUUUAUCCUCCGAAGCCAAAGCAGCCGUCUUACACAAACCGACCGAAUUCUAGCCAUGUCUUUGAUAGCAAAUGAGGAUUUUCAGCACAUCCUUCGUGUGCAGAACACGAAUGUGGAUGGUAAGCAGAAGAUAAUGUUCGCACUUACGUCAAUCAAGGGUAUCGGUCGUCGAUUCGCCAAUAUUGUCUGCAAGAAAGCUGAUAUUGACAUGAACAAGAGGGCUGGUGAGCUUUCGGCCGCUGAGAUUGACAGCUUGAUGACUAUUGUGGCCAAUCCUCGACAAUUCAAAAUCCCUGACUGGUUUCUGAACAGGAAGAAGGAUUACAAGGAUGGAAAAUUUUCUCAAGUGACUUCUAAUGCUCUGGACAUGAAACUGAGGGAUGAUCUUGAGCGUUUGAAGAAGAUUAGGAACCACCGUGGUCUCCGUCACUACUGGGGUCUUCGAGUGCGUGGACAGCACACCAAGACCACUGGCCGUAGGGGAAAGACUGUUGGUGUCUCCAAGAAGCGAUGAUUCUCUUUCGCAUUAUUCUCACGAACACACUGUUUGGUUUUAGGCUUCACUUGACCUAUGAUCUCGCAUCUGAUAAAAUGCUAGCUUUCGGAUCUCUUUUAAAGAACUUUCUUAGUGUGAUUUUGGGGUAUUGUUAAAUGUUACUCUCCUUUUUUUAGCGAUUUUGUUGCAUUUUAAGUAUUUAUAGGCCGAUAAAUCAGCAUGUCACCUCUAUUAUUUGAGAUUCCGGAUUCAUAUCUUCUGUUUUUAUGUUCUUAACAGCGUCAUGGUUGCAUUUGGUAAUAUAGAAAGUCAAAUUUUUAUCAA